UACGGAGGGAGCUAGCGUUGUUCGGAAUUACUGGGCGUAAAGCGCGCGUAGGCGGCUUUGUAAGUUAGAGGUGAAAGCCCGGGGCUCAACCCCGGAAUUGCCUUUAAGACUGCAUCGCUUGAAUCCGGGAGAGGUGAGUGGAAUUCCGAGUGUAGAGGUGAAGUUCGUAGAUAUUCGGAAGAACACCAGUGGCGAAGGCGGCUCACUGGACCGGCAUUGACGCUGAGGUGCGAAAGCGUGGGGAGCAAACAGG
rnacentral:rRNA from 1 species